UCCCUGGUGGCUCAGCAGUAAAGAAUCCGCCUGCAAUGCGGGAAACCUGGGUUCAAUCCCUGGACUGGGAA
rnacentral:tRNA from 1 species